UUAUUUUUAUUAUUAUCAUUUGAGGUGAUGAGAUAGGUGAUAGGAGGCUUAGAGCUGGAAGAAGUCUAGUAGCUUCUCUCGUUUUAUGGCGGUGGCUCACAGGCUUUUCUUCUUAUUCUUCCUUUCGAGUUAAACAAGAUUUGACAAUUUCUAGAAGCGUCGUCGGAGAAUUAGUCCGAUCGGUGAUCGGAGCUCUGGUCGCCGGUGGACGAGACGACGUAGAAUGCUUUGUUUGUUGUGGUUGCGUGAGAGAAAAGUGAGCGUUUUGGAUUUAUAAGAAGAGGAGACAAUGAAUGGGCAUAGCGAUGUAUUUGGGAGUGCGGCGGUGUUGGCGACGACUGAGUAUACAAGGAGACAUCAUCGGCAUGAGACUGGAGAGAAUCAGUGUUGUUCAGCUCUUGUUAAGCACAUCAAAGCUCCUGUUCCUCUCGUUUGGUCUUUGGUGAGGAGAUUUGACGAACCACAGAAGUAUAAACCUUUUGUCAGCAGGUGUGUCGUGCAGGGAAACCUUGAGAUUGGGAGUCUUAGAGAAGUUGAUGUCAAGUCGGGGCUCCCGGCAACUACAAGUACUGAAAGACUGGAACUCCUUGAUGAUGACGAGCAUAUCCUCAGCAUCAGGAUUAUUGGUGGGGAUCACAGACUUAAGAACUACUCUUCAAUCAUUUCCCUCCAUCCAGAGAUCAUUGAUGGAAGACCUGGGACUCUAGUCAUUGAAUCCUUUGUAGUGGACGUGCCUGAGGGGAACACAAAGGAUGAGACAUGCUACUUUGUUGAAGCUUUGAUCAAGUGCAAUCUCAAAUCACUUGCAGAUGUCUCAGAAGGGUUAGCAGUGCAGGACCGGACAGAACCCAUUGAUCUUUGAAGUUGGGGCUGAGGAGACAAGGUGGUGGCUUUAGUUGCCAUGGAUGAAGCUUUGGAGGCUUUCGUAUGUAGGAGGCUUUAGAGAUGGACUGGCAAUUGUUUGGUGGAAAAUGCUGUCCCAUAGUGACAGUCGAACGAUUGUUUUCUUGAUGCUCCCAAGUGCUGACCAUCAUUGUUGAAAGCAUAGAAAUGCCUAGUCAUGGAAUGGAGAUCAGUAGUUUUGAAGCAUAGAAACGCUCAGUCAUGGAAUGGAGAUCAGUAGUUUUGAAGCUGUUGUCGGAGCUCGGCUUAAGAACCCUGCAGUCAGGCCUUAGGCUUUUGGGGCAAUGAUUGUCCCUCGACGUUGGGCCUUGGGCUUUUGGGUGAUGAAGAGUAGCGUCAGUUUAGAGCACAGACACAGAAGAAAACGUACUUGUCAUCCAAAAAUGAAAAAGAAAGAAAGAUCAUGAACAUAAUCAAGAACGAAUGUGCCAAUAAUAUUCUUACGUAUUCCACAAUCAAUCCAUUUAAAGCUUCGCAACGGCCAAAGAAAAUCAACCCUGAAAGUAGCAUUGGAGGAAUAAUUGAAGAAUUAAUGCUGCAAUAGAGUCAUCGAGGGAUUAGAAGUGCCCAAACGCAGAAGGGAAAGAACGUAAGAACUUUCUCAGAAGUUGGGAAUUGGAUUUUAUAAACUGUCACUCCAUGUUACACAAUUCAAUACUUCACCCAGAAUAAGGUAAAAGUGCAAAUAAUACAUGAUUUCACAAAUAGUACAAGAAAUAUGUCGGUCUCGGCUGUUUCAUAGGACUGGGAUCAUUUCUGAUGGAUGCCUCGUCCCGCGGUGUCUAAGAGUUCCUAUAAAACGUCUCAGGACAAUGGUGGGGGAAAAAUUGCCAGAAAUUAUAUAAAGUCUAUACUUGUGUAUGAAAACAAUCUCAAUCUCUUAGGAUUGUUUCAAUGACAUUUGUCAAUGAUUGACUGACAAUUUUUUUGAUGUAAUGUAAU